UUCGACGAGUCGAGUUGUUUGGGAAUGCAGCUCAAAAUGGGUNGUAAAUNUCAUCUAAAGCUAAAUAUUGGCCAGAGACCGAUAGCGCACAAGUAGAGUGAUCGAAAGAUGAAAAGCACUUUGGAAAGAGAGUUAAACAGUACGUGAAAUUGUUGAAAGGGAAGCGCUUGCAACCAGACUCGCAUGCCGUCGAUCCUCCUGGGUUCUCCCUGGUGCACUCGGCGGUAUUCGGGCCAGCAUCGGUUUGGGUGGUGGGAUAAAGGCCUUUGGGAAUGUAGCUCCUCUUUCGGGGAGUGUUAUAGCCCUCGGUGCAAUGCUGCCUACCUGGACCGAGGACCGCGCUUCGGCUAGGAUGCUGGCGUAAUGGUUGUAAGCGACC
rnacentral:rRNA from 1 species